AUGGCUCAGCAUGAACGCUAGCGACAGGCCUAACACAUGCAAGUCGAGGGGCAUCGGGGCGAGGAGCAAUCCUUGCCGCCGGCGACCGGCGCACGGGUGAGUAACGCGUAUGCGACCUGCCCGUUGCAGGGGGAUAAUCGGGAGAAAUCCCGUCUAAUACCGCGUAAUGCCGCGGGGCUGCAUGGCCCUGCGGCCAAAGGGAGCGAUUCCGGCAACGGAUGGGCAUGCGUGACAUUAGCUAGUCGGCGGGGCAACGGCCCACCAAGGCGACGAUGUCUAGGGGUUCUGAGAGGAAGGUCCCCCACACUGGUACUGAGACACGGACCAGACUCCUACGGGAGGCAGCAGUGAGGAAUAUUGGUCAAUGGGCGCGAGCCUGAACCAGCCAAGUCGCGUGAGGGAUGACGGCCCUACGGGUUGUAAACCUCUUUUGUCGGGGAGCAAAUUCUGCCACGUGUGGCGGAGUCGAGAGUACCCGAAGAAAAAGCAUCGGCUAACUCCGUGCCAGCAGCCGCGGUAAUACGGAGGAUGCGAGCGUUAUCCGGAUUUAUUGGGUUUAAAGGGUGCGUAGGCGGACUGUCAAGUCAGCGGUAAAAUACGGGGGCUCAACCUCCGCCCGCCGUUGAAACUGACGGUCUUGAGUGGGCGAGAAGUAUGCGGAAUGCGUGGUGCAGCGGUGAAAUGCAUAGAUAUCACGCAGAACUCCGAUUGCGAAGGCAGCAUACCGGCGCCCGACUGACGCUGAAGCACGAAAGCGUGGGUAUCGAACAGGAUUAGAUACCCUGGUAGUCCACGCAGUAAACGAUGAAUACUAGCUGUCCGGGGCGAAUGAGCCCUGGGUGGCACAGCGAAAGCGUUAAGUAUUCCACCUGGGGAGUACGCCGGCAACGGUGAAACUCAAAGGAAUUGACGGGGGCCCGCACAAGCGGAGGAACAUGUGGUUUAAUUCGAUGAUACGCGAGGAACCUUACCCGGGCUCAAACGACACAGGAACGUACCUGAAAGGGUUCGGCUCUACGGAGCCUGUGUCGAGGUGCUGCAUGGUUGUCGUCAGCUCGUGCCGUGAGGUGUCGGCUUAAGUGCCAUAACGAGCGCAACCCCCAUCGACAGUUGCUAACAGGUCAGGCUGAGGACUCUGUCGAGACUGCCGGCGCAAGCUGCGAGGAAGGCGGGGAUGACGUCAAAUCAGCACGGCCCUUACGUCCGGGGCGACACACGUGUUACAAUGGCAGGUACAGCGGGAAGCCACCUGGCGACAGGGAGCGGAACCCGAAAGCCUGUCUCAGUUCGGAUUGGAGUCUGCAACCCGACUCCAUGAAGCUGGAUUCGCUAGUAAUCGCGCAUCAGCCACGGCGCGGUGAAUACGUUCCCGGGCCUUGUACACACCGCCCGUCAAGCCAUGGAAGCCGGGGGUGCCUGAAGUGCGCUGCCGCGAGGAGCGCCCUAGGGUAAAACCGGUGACUGGGGCUAAGUCGUAACAAGGUAACCGU
rnacentral:rRNA from 1 species